rnacentral:rRNA from 1 species
AUUGAACGCUGGCGGCAUGCCUUACACAUGCAAGUCGAACGGUAACAGGUCUUCGGAUGCUGACGAGUGGCGAACGGGUGAGUAAUGCAUCGGAACGUGCCCAGUAGUGGGGGAUAGCCCGGCGAAAGCCGGAUUAAUACCGCAUACGACCUGAGGGUGAAAGGGGGGGAUCGCAAGACCUCUCGCUAUUGGAGCGGCCGAUGUCAGAUUAGCUAGUUGGUGGGGUAAAGGCCUACCAAGGCAACGAUCUGUAGUUGGUCUGAGAGGACGACCCGCCACACUGAGACUGAGACACGGCCCAGACUCCUACGGGAGGCAGCAGUGGGGAAUUUUGGACAAUGGGCGCAAGCCUGAUCCAGCAAUGCCGCGUGCAGGAAGAAGGCCUUCGGGUUGUAAACUGCUUUUGUCAGGGAAGAAAUCUUCUGGGUUAAUACCUCGGGAGGAUGACGGUACCUGAAGAAUAAGCACCGGCUAACUACGUGCCAGCCGCCGCGGUAACAC